GGGAAAAUGAGGGGGGAAAUUGGGAAAAAUGAUGAAAAAUGAGGGGGAAAUGUCAAAAAAUUGGAAAAAUGAGGGAAAAAUUGGAAUUGAGGAGAAAAAAAGAUGGAAAAUGAGGGGGAAAUUGGGAAAUGAGGGGGAAAAUUGGGAAAAAAAGAUGGAAAAUGAGGGAGAAAAUCUAAAAAAUGUGGGAAAAUUGGGGGGAAUUGAAAAAUGAGGGGGAAAAUUGGAAAAUGAGGAGGAAAUUUGACAAAUGAGGGGGAAAUUGGGAAAUGAGGAGGAAAAUGAGGUGGAAAAAUACCAAAAUUAAGUGGAAAAAUAUGAAAAUUAAGUGGAAAAAUACCAAAAUUAGGUGGGAAAAUUCAAAAAUUAGGUGGGAAAAUACCAAAAUUAAGUGGGAAAAUAUCAAAAUUAAGUUGAAAAAUACCAAAAUUUGGUGGGAAAAUACCAAAAUUAGGUGGAAAAAUACCAAAAUUAGGUGGAAAAAUUCCAAAAUUAGGUGGAAAAUAAUUGGAAUGAGGGGAAAAAAAAUGGGAUCGGGGGAAUUCCCAUCCGGACACGACAAAUUCGGGAUUUGGGGUGGGAUGAGUUUAUUUCCAAUGGAAUCAGAGCAGAAUUAAAAAAAAACCCCAAAAUCCAACUUUUCCCUCCCCCAAAUUCCCUCGUUCCCGGUUUUUCCAGCGGAGUUUUCCAUGGAUUUCUCCAUCCCACUGUGAGUUUUCCACGGAUUUCUCAUUUUUGGGAGUUUUCCAUGGAUUUUUCGGCGAUGGGAAAGAGUUUUCCAUGGAUUUCUCCAUCCCACCGCGAGUUUUCCAUGGAUUUCUCAUUUUUGGGAGUUUUCCAUGGAUUUCUCCAUCCCACCGCGAGUUUUCCAUGGAUUUCUCAUUAUGGGAAAGAGUUUUCCAUGGAUUUCUCAUUUAUGUGAAGGAGUUUUCCGCGGAUUUCUCCGAGACGUCGUUCCCGGGGUUGAUCCUUUGGGAAUUUCCUGCUCUGUGGGAUUCCUGCCAGGAACCUGCUCCUUUUUCCAUGGAUCCACAGCUCCUUGCCAAGGAAUUUUGGGAAUUUCCAGUCCAGCAGCUCGGAAUCGUCUCCGGAGUCGUUCCAGCCCCGGAGCUUCCCCGAAUUUGGCCACAAAAAGGCAAUUCUGAUGGGAAAAUAACGGGAUGGGACGGAGAAAAAAAUGAAAUGGGAGGAAAAAUAACGGGAUGA
rnacentral:lncRNA from 1 species